rnacentral:rRNA from 1 species
UGGGGAAUCUUGGACAAUGGGGGCAACCCUGAUCCAGCCAUGCCGCGUGAGUGAUGAAGGCCUUAGGGUCGUAAAGCUCUUUCGCCUGUGAAGAUAAUGACGGUAGCAGGUAAAGAAACCCCGGCUAACUCCGUGCCAGCAGCCGCGGUAAUACGGAGGGGGUUAGCGUUGUUCGGAAUUACUGGGCGUAAAGCGCACGUAGGCGGAUCGGAAAGUUGGGGGUGAAAUCCCGGGGGCUCAACCCCGGAACUGCCUCCAAAACUAUUGGUCUAGAGUUCGAGAGAGGUGAGUGGAAUUCCAAGUGUAGAGGUGAAAUUCGUAGAUAUUUGGAGGAACACCAGUGGCGAAGGCGGCUCACUGGCUCGAUACUGACGCUGAGGUGCGAAAGUGUGGGGAGCAAACAGGAUUAGAUACCCUGGUAGUCCACACCGUAAAACGAUGAGUGCUAGAUGUUGGGAUUUUCGGAUUUCAGUGUCGCAGCUAA